rnacentral:rRNA from 1 species
AAAAGAAAUCGAAGAGAUUCCCAGAGUAGCGGCGAGCGAAACGGGACCAGCCUAAAGCUAUAAAGUUAGUGGAAGUGUUUUGGAAAAGCACACCGAAGAAAGUGAAAGUCUUGUACACGAAAGCAAUAUAGUGGAAUUAAGUAGGGCGGAACACGAGAAAUUCUGUCUGAAGAUGGGGAGACCAUUCUCCAAGGCUAAAUACUCCUGAGAGACCGAUAGUGAACCAG